CCAGGCCGCCGAAGCUGAAUGUGCGCACUUAAGUGCUGUGCCACCAGGCCGGCCCUGAAUUUUUUUUAUUUAGUAAAGGGGUGUCUUUUGGAGUACUUAAUUGUCCAUGGUAAGAUGUAUGUUGCUUGUCAAAACAUCGUAAUAUACUAAAGUCUAGUUCAGAAUUAUAAUCAGAGAAGGAGCUUUAAAAAAAAAAAAAAUCUUCCAGGGGCUAGCCCAGUGACGUAGGUGUAGUGGUUAAGAUUGCGCACCCAGCUUCAGCCAGCCGGGGUUCGCAGAUUCAGGUCCCCAGCACAGACCUACACACCGCUCACCAAGCAGUGCUGUGGCGGUGUCCUACAUGCAAGAUGGAGGAAUAUCGGCACAGAUGUUAGCUCAGGGUCAGUCUUCUUCAACCAAAAAAAAAACACAAAAUCUUCCAGAGUCUAAUUAUGAAAGAAUUUUAUAGUAAUGUUAUCCUUGACCAAAUUUUUGUUAAGCAUUGUAUGUCUUGGCUUUGUUUUGUACAUAUCCUUCAGUUUUAUAACUAGAUUCUUAAUAGUGCCUGCCCAAUACCCCACUCUCCUAUUCCUUCCUAGGACCAGAAUAGAUACAGCUUGAUGCCUGGUCUUCAUUUAUUAUAGCUAGCUUGAGAGACUCUUGAACCUGGACAUGUAAGAUCUAGUGCUAGUAGGCACCAGGGACUAUGCUGGUUACGUUAUACACAUCAUCUUAUUUUGUAUUCACAGGACCCCUGCAAAAGAGUUGGUGUUAGGCCUGUUUACAGAUUUGGAAUCAGAGUUCAGGGAGCUUCAGUAACUCUCUCGAGGGCGGCAAGGAAAGUAGUUUACCCAGGAUUUAACCUCAGCUUUGUCUUCCCCCCAAACCAUGGCUCUUUCUACUGUGCAACAUUGCUUCUCCUGUAACUUUGCCUGGAACAAGCACUUUUCUCUUUGCUAGGUGUUAUGGCCCAUUUCUGUUUUGUAACAUUGCCAAGUACGUAGUUUGAGACUAUGCUUGUUUUUUAUUGUUUGUCUAAACAAUAAGAAAAAUCAGAUAGCCAAGAAGCUAAAUCACAUAGCUCACCAGCACAUAGGAAAAAAAGGAAAAAGUCGCCAUGCUAAGUGAGUCAUUUCUUCACUGGUGUCAGCUCCCUCCUUGGGAAUCCACCUUGGAGUAUGUGGGUCUCAGGGGUCCUUUUUAUUGUCUUAAUUGUUUAGCUCAAUAACUGUUCCCUUGGGCUUUCGCGGGCAUGGACACUUCUCUCUUAGGGAUGAACACCAGAUAGUAUUGAGGUCAUAUGAAUGUAGUUGUGAUUAAAAAAAAAUGAAACACAUGGAUACAGAUAUUGACUAGGACUGGUGUAAAGUCAAAUAGUCACUUCAUAUGUCUUUAAAAAAUGUGAAAAUUAAAGCAAAUGAAAGCCUGGUUAUAGUUUUGAGCAUUUAAUGGAGUGUAAGAAAAGAAAACCCAUUUGACCCUGAGGUGCAGCCAGAUUCACUGACAUAGGAUUAUAUUUCCUUCUCCUGGAGUUGAAUGCUGCUGUUGGUUCUGCAGAAGUCAUAUUUGCGUAAUCAUAAUAUUGUAAAGGUAGAUAAAUAGUUUAUUGGUUAAUCACUGCACAAGACAAGGAAGAGGUAGUUAAAACUACAGAAAAAAAAUCAAGGCUUAACAACCUGGCAGGGCGAAGAGUGGAAGAGCUGACAGAGUCGGUGGCCAGAUGGCAGGAGGAGAAGAGGCGAUAGAGGGAUCCGUGGGGAUGCUAAUUUCCUUCUCUGACAUGGUGGGAUGUCAGGAAAUUCUGUAUCAUGCGGUUGAAACAAGAAACAGAACUAACCAAUUGGAGAACUAAAGAGCAUAAUCAGGAAAACUAGGAAAGAAUCAGAGGCGAAGGAAGUGUGAAUGAGUUAGAUAUGAGGGAGGCAGGCAGGCAAUAGGUUCUGUUUGAGGUUGGCAAAUCAAGAGGAGAUAGAAGCCUGUUAGUUAAGCUGAUAACCACAGAAGGACUGUAAAGACAAUCAUCAUAGAGGCGAGUGGAAAUGGGAAUAUGGACCCAGAGACAGUUACUUACUUUAUUAGGCAUUUGGUUCUGUUUGGAAAAAUUUAACUGCACAUGCAUUACUUUUAAAGUAAUUUAAGAAAAAAGAAGAAUUUCAACAACUGUGGACAUGCAGUGUCAAGAAUAACUUUUCGUGUGCACUAUUACACUGCUGCUGUGACCAGGCUACCAGGGACUGCUAUUGCCAGUGGCGGAGGGCUCUAGUUUCAAAGAAUGAGGACAAUGGCAAGUCGGUGUAGGGUGAGAAAUGACUUAGACCCAUGGUCUCAUUCACAUCUUCAGCUGGUUUCAUGGUUGGAUCCUGAUCAAAAUGGGGCAGAAAACCUACCACCCUGCCCUAAACGUGCAGAGUGAAAUGCUGCCGUGACUAGAGCCUGUCUGGAAAGCCCAACACAGGAGCUCGCUUUCCCUGCUGCUGCCUCAGGGUCCUGCUUCCUAUUCUAGGAUGCUGUAGCCGCUCUGGAGAAUAGAUGCUUGUCUUGCCUUUGUUUUCUCUGGUUUGAGGAGUGGCUGAGCUUCAGGCCACCGACUUCCUUCCAGGAACUUCCUGCAAGGGGAAAUCUUGACUUUUCUGCAUGAACACUCCAAAUGCCUGUGUGUUGAACAAUGGCCUCAGAAGUUGUUUUUCAAGAAGGGACUUGCUUUUGUUUUGACCCUGAGAAGCUUGGACUGUUGUGUUCAUGGCGCCUCCAGGUGGGCAGUCGAGGAAGGGCGUCUUGGUGGGGUAAGAGCCCUGGGAGAACCGAGAUUUGAUUGUGCCAUCUUUGCUCUUAGUCUUAGUCUCUGUGGUCCUGGGGGCAGUAGUUCAGUGAGGGGGUUUAGGUGGGGAAUGGAGUCCAGGAAAGGGCUGGGGAAGGAACCUCUUAGGGAGUUAAUGCCGACAGCUCAAGGAUGCACUCUGGGAGGAGGUUGUGUAAGUAGAUGCCUUUAUUCGCUGUGUCCCUUUUUGCCUCUCUCCAGCCAAAUUUCUAAAUAAUCCUAUUUUUGAGAUAAAGGAGAUAAAGUGGGGUACUCUUCCAGCAUCUGGGAAGUCCUGCCUAAUGGUAGUUGCAGAUUUGGCUAUCAGGAAUCGGUUUGCUGUUGAUUUAGUCCAGGGCUGCAAAGUCAAGUGCCAGGGCACUUGGGGCGGGCGGUUUUAAUGAACCGUGCCACCCGGUGGGGACUCUGGCUCACAAAAAUCUCAUGCUUGUUGACACCGUUGUUCAGCUUCAAAUGGUGCCAUGUAUGGAGAACAGGUUUAGGGUUGUCAGAGCUUCCAGUUUUUCAAGAAAAGCACAGAAUGUGAAAUUCCUUGGAUUUUAAGUGCUGCCAGCUAAUUAAAAGGUUCUUACAACUACUGUCUAGACUUUAAAAACAAGCCUGUUGGUGGAUAAAGUCCAUGAGCCGCCAGUUUUUUCCUCUGGUCAGGACUCUAACUCCUGUCUCCCAAAUGUUCUUCCGCCUUGAUCCUCGAAAACGAGCUCAGCAUCUGGGCACUUAACCUGUAUUCCUUCUUGUCCCAAAGCGUGUUAAAGAUGCUCUCAUUAUAUAUAAGAAAAUAUAAAUUAGGAGUUAGGUGAAAAAGUCAAAACAAUUAUAGGAUAAUCAGUGGAACCAGAAUGAAAUUAUGUACAUGUAUAUGCACAUUUCAGUGGGCCUCAAGUUGGGCACUGACCUUUCUAGAAACUUGCUUAACACAGAAGUCUUAUCAGAUAUACAAUUUGUAGUGCUCUUAAAACAAACCAUUUAACAGAGGGAUGGCUCUUCCUGAUGGCAGGAUCAGAGGAUGCUUUCAGAAGGGUCUUCAGAGGAACAUACUGAAUCAUAGGCGAGGCAAGACCCUCAUGGCAGUGUGAGUUUUAUAGGACUGUUGCUAUUGCUGUAUAUUGAAUAUUGACUAUUCUAUUGCUCUUCAUGAGAAUACUGAUGACAUUUACACUAAAGUGUAGUUUGGGAAAUGAGAUCGUGAGGAGGGCUCAGCUGCAGGUAAGAAUCUUCUAGUGUUCUAACUUAAGCUGGUGGGGAGAGAAGUGGAGGUAGGGAAUGCGAUAGUUAGGCAGACAGGUAGUUAGGAAGCAGAGGGCUCAGGUUUGAAUCCCGGCACCAUCUGUUACUAGAGGUGGAACCUUGGGUAAGUUGCUUUAUUUUUUAAACCUCAGUUUCCUCGUCUAUCAAAUGGGAAUGAUUAUAUAAUGGGAUCACUCUCACAAGACAAUUAUGUGGCUUAACUGGUUUAGUUCAAAUAAAGCACUCAUUGCAGUUCUUGGUACCCAGCAAGCACUUCCACAAAUGUGAUGAAUUAGAGAAACUGUUAGCAGUGGCAACUUGUCAAAAUGAUUAAAUGUGGCUGUUCAAGCUUUACUUACAGGAAUAGUAUUUUUGUUUGUUUGCCGCACUAAGAAAAUUUAUUUCACUUAAUUCCUGGUCACCAAAAAUGUGUUAAGUAUCUGUGUACAAAGUGUUUUGCAAGAUUCUGUGGGAUGGCCCCUGCUCUCAGGAAACUCGUAUUUUGGUUAAAAAGAUAAAUAUGCAUGAGCUGUACAAGAUGGGGAGCACCAAGGGCCAUCCCAGCCAGGCUGUAAGCUAUAGAGAGGGCGUGCCACAGUGGGCUGAGAGCAGAGGAAGAUCAUUCUAGGAGAGAGUGGAAGAACAGCCAUGCUUUACAAUGUGUUAAUUAAACCUUCUCUUGGGUAAUUUAGGUUGGGCCAUCCCGUGCGUAUUUUGUCAUUACAGAGAGGGCCUUAGGGUGUACAGAGAGGUGGAGAUCUGUGUUAGCAUGUGUGGUGCAGGCCCUGGAGCAGAACCCCUGAGCUCCUCCAUUAGCGGCCCCUGUGGCCUUUGGGAAGCUAGGUGGCCUUUCUUUGCCUCAGUUUUGUCAUCUGUAAAUUGGGGUAUGAUUGUACUAGCGUCUACUUCGUAGGACAUGCUGUAAAGAGUACAUGAGUAAGUGCCUUUGAAGUCCUUAGAACAGUGUCCGGCAAGUUGUAAGCACAGCAUGUGUUAGUUACUAUCAAUGGUUCCUCUUGGAUCAAUCAGUAUUAAAAUUUUAAUGACUGCCUCUGGUCAGGCUUGGGCAUGCAGCCUGUAGUUUCAGAAGAGACUACAGCUGACUGUGCACAUGGGCAUAGAAGCUGAUAACUUUGCAGCACUCUGGACCUCAUUAGCAGACAGAAGGGGGCACUGGGAGGGUCCCUGUUUCGGACCCAGAAGUUGAAAGCUCAGCCCAGCCUCAGCUGCAGCUCACUUGCUUUGUGACGGAUGGCGAGUUCUCAGUGUCUUACAGUGUCUUAUCUGCUUGUGUACAACUGGCCUGACCUCUCACUCUUGAUGCGUACUGAAUUUUCACCCACUUGGAAAACAUUUGGGGGAGGUAAAGGGUGGGAAAUGGGUGGGUGAAUGAGUUAUAUUCUAAAAUGCUAUUAAAAAUUAAAGGAGGUGUAAAUGUAACUACUAAAUAUUAGUGAUAUGGCUUCAGGUUUUCAUAGGAAUCCAAAUAGACAGUAUUCAUCAUAUGAGAAAAUUAAAUUUUACCUUAUUAUUUUUAUAAUACCCCAAUAAAGACUUCCAUUGAUUGCUCAGUUUUUGUGUUUCCUGGAAAUCUUUAAUAUUGAGCAUGAAGACCCAGAAAUGCAUUCCCUGGGUUCCUCCUCUUUUCCAGCAAAGAAUUGAUUUGAGUCUCAGUGUGAUUUUGAACCCUUCCUCGUGAAUGCUUUGUGCCGACACACGUCUUCUUCCUCACACACACGUUGGUGGCUUCACACACAGCUGGCUUCUGAGGCCUCCUUUCUGGGGGAGUUGCUCUGCCAUGAGGGCCUGUGUAGAGAGAAAGCCGGACGCUGGCUGCACAUAAUGGCACACGCCAUCCUGCAGAGCUGUGUGCGGGUCGGAGCGUGCCAUUUUGCAGCAGAGCCAGGCCCGCGGCCCGCGGAGUCUGAGAACGCGUGGAGGAUGUCAGGACUUCUUCGGAGCAGUUCAGUUCCUGUUUUCCUCUUCCUUAAAGAAAAAUUUUUGGCCAUGCUCACACAUGUAUUCUUCAAAUGAAAUUUAGAAUCGUUUUGUUACCUUCUUAAAAAGAAUCCCAUUGGUAUUUCGAAUGUGAUUGCACUAAGUAUAUAGACUAAUUUGGGGAAAAUUUACACUUUUACAAUCCAGGAACAUAUAUGUCUCCUUUUUUUUUUAAUCGCCUUCUCUUUAGUUUUUUUACCUCCGUAAAUGAAGUCUUGUACUUUUAUUUAUAUUGGUUCUACAUGUUUCCUGUUAAAUUUAUUUCAAGAUAUUUUAUAUUUUGUUUUUGGUGGCUGUAGUGAAUAGACUGUUCUUAAAUUAUAUCUUGUAAGUGGUGUUUUCUGAUUAUAGAAAAGCUGUUGAUUUUUGUACAUUUAUAAGUGGGCUUACGAAGCCCAUUUACUGAAUUACCUGAAAAUGGGAACUGAUGUGGCCUGUGUUUGUUCUGUUCAUGAACACAGGAAAAAAAGGAGUAUGAGGAGCUUAUAUUUUUAUUUUGUUCUGUCAGACUCUAAAAUGUGCCCUGGGCCUCUCUUUUUAUUCACUGUUAUAACCCUGGCACCUCCCUCAGGAUUUGCUGUGGUCCAUUCUCAAUAAAUAUGGUGGAAUAUUUCUUAACUUUCUUAAUUCUGUAAUAGUCUUUCAGUUGUUUCUCUUGUCUUUUUUAAAGAAAAUUAUUAAUUAUAGCAUUCCUGAAUAAUAAUUUUGUCUCCUUUUUAGUAUUUGCUUCUUUCACUUUCAAUCUUAGUCUUUUGCCUAGAACUUCCAGUGCAGUGGUCAGUGACAGUCCCCAUAGUAGGCAUCCUUAUUUUGGCUCUGAAUUUAAUGGGAAUACCUUUAGUGUUUUACUGUCGGAGUUUGAGAAAGACUUUUUUUUAUUGCAUUAGAGACAGUUACUUCUGUUCCUGGUUAACUAGGGUUAUUUUGUUUUAAAAUCAAGAAUAGGAUCAAUACAUAUAUAGAGAGAGAAUUAUUUGAUUGUGCAACUUUGACUUAAUGUGAUAACUUAUUUCUCUAUAAAUGCUAAUAUUAAAGUAUUCUUGAAUUACUAGAAUAAUCCCUCUUAUUCUAAUAAUACUGAAUUAAAUUUGCUGUUUUUUCUUAUGAUUUUAUGUCUGUAGUCAUAAGUUAGAUUUUCUUUAGUAUUUUUUGUUUGUUGUGAUAGCCUGAUUGAAAUGAAUUAAAACAUUUUUUCUUUUUUUUCCCCUGUGCUGUGAUAGAAUUUAAAUCGUGUAGGAAUUAUCUGGUCCUUGAAGGUUUGGCAGAAUUCACCUGUAAAACUGACACCAGUAGCAGCCUGCAGAACGGGAGACAGACACAUCCCACAGUUCGGCUGUAGCCCAUACCCACCGCCUUCGAGAGGCUGCGAGUGCUUAUCCUACUGGCGUGUGCAUUUGGGCCUUUUGAUAGCUGUCUGGUGAGUAAAACUGGGCAAGGGAACUCGUGUUCAAGGCAGAGGUGAUGCGGGUUGGCAGUAGGUAACUGAGCUGGGGGAGAGUGGAGAAGAAGGGUUUGGACCAUUGCAGCUUUUGUAACAAUUCAAAUCUUUAGCAUCCAGUUGCUCAUGAAGAACUUGACAGCGAGCUGGGUCAACGGGGGUGCUGGUUCUUUGCGUCUGUGGAACGCAUGCCUGAGACUGAGAACGCACUGCUUCUUUGCCUUAUAUGUAGUAGGUGCUCAAUAUGUGAAUGUGAUGCCUUCAUGUAUUUAAACAAAGAACCGCAUCAGAUUUCCAGGAAAAUCCAUGGGACUGAACUGCUGAUGUGGCUAGAAAGUAAGCUGGGAUGUUUUCCAGUGCUGCUGAAAGUACUGGAAAACAUUUUGCUGUGUGAUUUUUAAAACUCUUAGUAUAUUAGUAAAAUGUGUGGUAUAUUCUCUCUCACACACACACACCCCCUUCUCUUCACCGCUUUUCUCCUGCACUGAAUGGAGUCUUGGACAUCUCAGUUAUUUAUUGCCUCAUGUGGACAUCUGCAUUUUAUGACUUUUCUAUUUAUAAGUUGGCUUUAAUUUGAUCCUUCAGUACCAGGCAGGGUUAAACCGGUGUAUCAGACUAAUUGUAUAGGGAGGGAAGAUCUUGGGCAGUAAACAAGUUAAUUCCUGAGUUUAAAUUGGAAACUUUGAUGGUUGCAUUCAUUUUCAGGCCAGCAGAAAUUCUUAAAUUGCUACUUUGGGGCCCUGGAUGGUGAUUCGGGUGUGUUACGAAAUUACAGGGAAUCACAGGAGUGUGAAAUCGUUAAGAGAGCCACAGUUGUGUUUCCCACCUGCAGGAGGCAGGGCCAAAGGGAGCACUGGGGGCUGAAUAAGACUGAACAGGCAGCUUGACCGCCUUAUGAAGGAAUUACUGUAUUUCCCAGCACGUAG